rnacentral:rRNA from 1 species
CAAUAGCGUAUAUUAAAGUUGUUGCGGUUAAAAAGCUCGUAGUUGGAUUUCUGCCGAGGACGACCGGUCCGCCCUCUGGGUGUGUAUCUGGUUUGGCCUGGGCAUCUUCUUGGAGAACGUAGCUGCACUUGACUGUGUGGUGCGGUGUCCAGGACUUUUACUUUGAGGAAAUUGGGGUGUUUCAAGCAGGCACACGCCUUGAAUACAUUAGCAUGGAAUAAUAAGAUAGGACCUCGGUUCUAUUUUGUUGGUUUCUAGAGCUGAGGUAAUGAUUAAUAGGGAUAGUUGGGGGCAUUCGUAUUUAACUGUCAGAGGUGAAAUUCUUGGAUUUGUUAAAGACUAACUUAUGCGAAAGCAUUUGCCAAGGAUGUUUUCAUUAA